rnacentral:lncRNA from 1 species
GAUAAACACACAGCUCCACUUUAGCCUGAUGCACAUCAAAGCCUUUUUUUUAUUUUCUUCCUACAAAUCAUCACUUUUAACACUUUUUCACAGGAGCUGGGGAUUUAGAGCUUAAGGACUAACACACGGACUAAAUGAUCGGGAAUGUUUGACCAGUGAUGGAGAAGAUGGGAACAACCAAGUAAGAUUUAUGAGGAUUUCACAGGAUCUCUGGAAGUGGACUAAAUCAUUUGGAUGCCUGGUCACUGUCAAAGCGCAUGGGGAGUUCACUCCAUGGGACUGUUUAUAUGUGAGUGAUACUAUCCAGCUGGUCACAGCCAUACAUUGUCCACAGAAACAGUCAACACUCCUGGAGGAGGAUGCCUUCCCUGCACCAUGGAGCAAUCUUCAUCGGAGCCUUCCUCAUCGUGACCGGGGGCUCCACAGCCUUCCUGGCCUUGCAGCAGAGCCGCCUGCAGGCUUUCUCCCUCUGCUGUGUGGUGCUGGGGGUGAUCAUGCUUAUCCUGGGGCUCUUCUGGGCAAUGAACAGCAAAAAUUCAGGAAACCAUCAGGAGCUUGACCCAGAGUGUCCACAUUAUCCUUACAACGACUACACCAACUACCCGAGCCAUGCCCUCUUCAGCACUCCAGGAAGCCGCUUCCCAGAGUCCCAGUCGGUGUUUAUUCCCAGGACGAUGGAGCGCCACAGGCAUGUCGGCCGCGUUGAGGACUUCGACUACCCUCCCAUGGACUCUGGUGGUUUCAGCCCGACGCCUCACCCUCCUCCAUGGCUGGAACCCCCGCCUCCCUAUGAGGUUGCCAUCAAGACCACAUGCAGCUCUACACAUCUGCGGCGUGCAUACUCAGACACACACCUGGCAUCAGAGCCCCUGUUCGGACACUCAAGAGAGAUCAGCUUUGAGGUGUGAGGUCACAUCACACUGACAGAUAAAAGCUGAGCUUUAUCUCAGACUCCACUGCAGCCGUGUGUUACAGCGAUGAAUUUUACAUCUCUCCCAGAGGCAUGCUUCUUUCUGCUACUAGCAUGUUUUACAUCAAAUAUAUGAUAAGAAUAAAGGCCACACCAAGACAAGUUCA